AGAGAGAGACAUGCGCGCAUAUCAAUAAGCGGAGGAAAAGAAACUAACAAGGAUUCCCCUAGUAACGGCGAGUGAAGCGGGAAGAGCUCAAAUUUGAAAUCUUAAAGGGUUUCCCUUUACGAAUUGUAGUUUAAAGAAGUGUUUUCUGUUGAGGUUUUGGUAAAAGUUCUUUGGAAUAGGACAUCAUAGAGGGUGAGAAUCCCGUAUUUGACCUUUACUUUCAACUUUGUGAUACACUUUCAAAGAGUCGGAUUGUUUGGGAAUGCAGUCCAAAAUGGGUGGUAAAUUUCAUCUAAAGCUAAAUAUUGGCGAGAGACCGAUAGCGAACAAGUACCGUGAGGGAAAGAUGAAAAGAACUUUGAAAAGAGAGUUAAACAGUACGUGAAAUUGUCAAAAGGGAAGCGUUUGACACCAGUGUUGUUUUUCUGAAAAUCAAUUAAAGAACUGUUUAUGCUAAGUUGUUUAGACUUUAUCAGCUAUCUGUUUAGUUUUGAGCUUUUCUUUAAUGCACUUUUCAGUUAACAAGUCAACAUCAAUUUCUUUUGCUGUAAAAAAGCUUGAGGAAGGUGGCUUGAGAUUCGUCUUAAGUGUUUAUAGCCUCUUGCCUAUGCAGUCGGAGAGAUUGAGGUCUGCAGCGUAGAUCCUUCGGGGCUAAAUGCAUUUGUGCUAAGUUACUAGCCUUUUAUAGACAACUUGUUGACUAUGAUUCGAUCCUGUAGCUUACUCGCUUAUGUAUUUUACCUACGCUUAGGAUGUUGAGCGCAUGUCUCUCUCU
rnacentral:rRNA from 1 species